rnacentral:rRNA from 1 species
UACGUAGGGUGCGAGCGUUAAUCGGAAUUACUGGGCGUAAAGCGUGCGCAGGCGGUUCGUUGUGUCGGCGGUGAAAUCCCCGGGCUCAACCUGGGAAUGGCCGUUGAAACUGGCGAACUGGAGUGUGGCAGAGGGGGGUGGAAUUCCGCGUGUAGCAGUGAAAUGCGUAGAGAUGCGGAGGAACACCGAUGGCGAAGGCAGCCCCCUGGGCUGACACUGACGCUCAGGCACGAAAGUGUGGGGAGCAAACAGG